UACGUAGGGUGCAAGCGUUAAUCGGAAUUACUGGGCGUAAAGCGUGCGCAGGCGGUUCUGUAAGUCUGUCGUGAAAUCCCCCGGGCUUAACCUGGGAACUGCAUUUGUGACUGCAUCGCUGGAGUGCGGCAGAGGGGGAUGGAAUUCCGCGUGUAGCAGUGAAAUGCGUAGAUAUGCGGAGGAACACCGAUGGCGAAGGCAAUCCCCCUGGGCCUGCACUGACGCUCAUGCACGAAAGCGUGGGGAGCAAACAGGG
rnacentral:rRNA from 1 species